rnacentral:rRNA from 1 species
UACGUAGGUGGCAAGCGUUGUCCGGAUUUAUUGGGUUUAAAGGGUGCGUAGGCGGACUUAUAAGUCAGUGGUGAAAUCUCGUUGCUUAACAACGAACGUGCCAUUGAUACUGUAGGUCUUGAGUACAGAUGCCGUUGGCGGAAUGUGUCAUGUAGCGGUGAAAUGCAUAGAUAUGACACAGAACACCGAUUGCGAAGGCAGCUGACGAAACUGUAACUGACACUGAGGCACGAAAGCGUGGGGAUCAAACAGG